rnacentral:tRNA from 1 species
GCCCCCGUAGCUCAGCUGGAUAGAGCGCUACCCUCCGGAGGUAGAAGUCACGUGUUCGAAUCGCGUCGGGGGUGCCA